GCACUGUCCGCGAGGGUGCUGAAUGUGUAAGAUGGAGACUUUUAAGCAAAUUGAUAUAAACAGAUGCCAUUCGAUGAACGGCUCUGGGUGUCCAGACCUCCGGAUUUUCCAGUGGAUUCUCACGUUACCUACCCCUCUCCCCUCUGGCUCCCUUAGGUCCCUCAGUAGGGACACCAGGUCCCCAGGAAUGACAUCCCGAGUCCUGGAGGCAGGUCAGACCGCUCUUUGGGCACCUGGGGGAGUUCCGGCUCUGCCCUGGGUAGGUGACCCACCUGAGGGUGAGGAGAACCCAGGAGACCUGCGUUUUCAAACUGGGUGGCCGAGACCCUUCCGACAAGGAGAAUUGGGAAGAAAAGAAGGAAGAAGCUGGAAUAAAAGAGAACAGAAAGAUGCUGUAUAGUGAGGAUGAACAUUCUUUCAUCAAAUGUGAAUCAUGGAAGAAAAUGGAGGGUUGCUGUGCAUAUAGUACAAAGAUGUGGAACAGACCUCUUACUGUGGGUUGCUGUCACAAAAUGUUUGAAAAACACUGCUAGACAGUGGAAUUUCUAAAGAAUGCUAAAUUGGAAAGAUGGCCCUUUGCAUCCAUCUGCCUGGAAGAAAUGAGGAUUCAUAACAGAAACAAUAGUCCGGGUAGGUGGGGGGAAUACUAAGAUAUUCAAUUCUGACAUUCAAAACAGGAUUUUACAGCCAGGCUUGGUGGCACAUGCCUGUAAUGUGUCACUGGGAUGGUGAGGCAGGAGGAUUGCAAGCUCAAGGUCAGUCUCAGCAAUUUAGUGAAACCCUGUCAGAAGGAGAGGGAGAAGUCUGGGGAUAGAGCUCAGUGGUAACGCACUCCUGGGCUCAAUUCCCAGUACAACAGAAUUUUACAGCAAGACAAGGUUAGUGGAUUGGAAGAUUUAUUAUUAUUAUUAUUAUUGUUUAGGAUUUAAAAAGAAGUUCUAAGCUUCCUCAACUUAAGGAAGUUGCGUGUGGAGGACUUAAAAGGGAGUUCUCACAAAGGGUACUGAAGUCCCACAUACAUGCCAGGCUGCGAUGCUCACUGCUCCGUGUUGGAAGGACAAGGGUCUCACUAAACUGCACAGGCUGGCCUCCUGAGGGUCUUAGGAAUUACAGAUAGAUAUGUGCCUUGCAUCCAGCUCACCUGCCAUUCUUAAAGACAAGGUCUGAGCCCACUUCUUUUAAGAAGACUUUACUAGAGACUCAAGCCUGCUUAGAAGUUUUCUUUCUUCUUCCAGAAGAUUUUAUAUUUGUGUUUCACAUAACAGAAAAAGACAUUAAAAACGGAUCCAUGAAUGUCUCCAUGCCACUUCUGCUCCAUAUUGUACCUACUCAACAAUAAGAAGAUGCAAAAGGAGCUGGCCACUUAUCUCCACCAGAAACCUUUAAAACUUAAUUCUGAAGGAUGCCUCAUUCUCUUUAAAAAAUUAUUUAUUUUUUUUGUUUAGGUGGACACAAUAUCUUUAUUUAUUUUUAUGUGGUGCUAAGGAUUGAACCCAGUACCUCGAACAUGCCAGGCCAGCGUGCUACCACUUGAGCCACAACCCCAGCCCCUCAUUCUCUUUUAUAAAAAAUGAUGUUAAUCCUCAAUCCUUCAAAAGAAUGAAUUGGGCUGGGUGUAGUGGUGCACACCUGUAAUCCCAGUGGCUCCUCAGGAAGCUGAGGCAGGAAGAUCUCGAG